rnacentral:rRNA from 1 species
UCUCAAGAAAAGAAUUUAAGUCCAACCUAAAGUAACUCCUGAUUAUCAUAAAUCACCUCACCACUUUAGAGCAAUUCAAAUGAGGUACAGCCCAUUUGAUAUAGGAUACAACCUUAACUAACGGGUAACAUUAAAUCUACACCUCCAAGUAGGCCUAAGAGCAGCCACCCUUUAAAAAAGCGUCAAAGCUUAAUCAUGUUCACAUCAAUUUUUAAUCUUCAAUUGACCCCUUUUACCUUACUGAGAAUUUCUAUAUCAUAUAGAAUAUUUUAUGCUAAAACUAGUAACAAGAGUAAACCCUCUCCCAAUGCAAACACAAGCCAGCAAGAACCCAUCACUGGCAAUUAACAGACUUAAACAAAAGUAGCAACAUCUCUAGAAAACCCUACUCAUCCCAACUGUUAACCUUAUACCAGAGCAUUUCAGGAAAGAUUAAAAGAAAAAGAAGGAACUCGGCAAACACUAAUCCCGCCUGUUUACCAAAAACAUCGCCUCUUGCCCCCAUAAGAGGUCAAGCCUGCCCAGUGACUUUGUUCAACGGCCGCGGUAUCCUAACCGUGCAAAGGUAGCGUAAUCACUUGUUUUCUAAAUAAAGACCAGUAUGAAAGGCAUCACGAGGAUUAAACUGUCUCCUUUUUCCAAUCAGUGAAACUAAUCUCCCCGUGAAGAAGCGGGGAUUAUCCUAUAAG